GACGAACGCUGGCGGCGUGCUUAACACAUGCAAGUCGAACGGAAAGGCCCUGCUUUUGUGGGGUGCUCGAGUGGCGAACGGGUGAGUAACACGUGAGUAACCUGCCCUUGACUUUGGGAUAACUUCAGGAAACUGGGGCUAAUACCGGAUAGGAGCUCCUGCUGCAUGGUGGGGGUUGGAAAGUUUCGGCGGUUGGGGAUGGACUCGCGGCUUAUCAGCUUGUUGGUGGGGUAGUGGCUUACCAAGGCUUUGGCGGGUAGCCGGCCUGAGAGGGUGACCGGCCACAUUGGGGUAGGGCUACCGCCCAGACUCCUCCGGGGGGCACCAGGGGGGGAUAUUGCACAAUGGGCGGGAGCCUUGUGCAGCAACGCCGGGUGCGGGAUUGCGGCCUUCGGGUUGUAAACCGCUUUCGGCUUUGACGAAGGGGGAGGGAGGGUAAUGGGUAAAAAAGCCCCGGCGAAAUAC
rnacentral:rRNA from 1 species